UACGGGAGUGGCAAGCGUUAUCCGGAAUUAUUGGGCGUAAAGCGUCCGCAGGCGGUCUUGUAAGUCUGUUGUUAAAGCGUGGAGCUUAACUCCAUUUCAGCAAUGGAAACUGUAAGACUAGAGUGUGGUAGGGGCAGAGGGAAUUCCCGGUGUAGCGGUGAAAUGCGUAGAUAUCGGGAAGAACACCAGUGGCGAAGGCGCUCUGCUGGGCCAUAACUGACGCUCAUGGACGAAAGCCAGGGGAGCGAAAGGGAUUAGAUACCCCUGUAGUCCUGGCCGUAAACGAUGAACACUAGGUGUCGGGGGAAUCGACCCCCUCGGUGUCGUAGCCAACGCGUUAAGUGUUCCGCCUGGGGAGUACGCACGCAAGUGUGAAACUCAAAGGAAUUGACGGGGGCCCGCACAAGCGGUGGAGUAUGUGGUUUAAUUCGAUGCAACGCGAAGAACCUUACCAGGGUUUGACAUCCUGCGAAUCUUUUGGAAACAGAAGAGUGCCUUCGGGAACGCAGUGACAGGUGGUGCAUGGCUGUCGUCAGCUCGUGUCGUGAGAUGCUGGGUUAAGUCCCGCAACGAGCGCAACCCACGUCGUUAGUUGCCAGCAUUUAGUUGGGCACUCUAGCGAGACCGCCGGUGAUAAACCGGAGGAAGGUGUGGAUGACGUCAAGUCAUCAUGCCCCUUACAUCCUGGGCUACACACGUACUACAAUGCUACGGACAAAGGGCAGCAAACUCGCGAGAGCUAGCAAAUCCCAUAAACCGUGGCUCAGUUCAGAUCGUAGGCUGCAACUCGCCUACGUGAAGGAGGAAUCGCUAGUAAUCGCAGGUCAGCAUACUGCGGUGAAUACGUUCCCGGGCCU
rnacentral:rRNA from 1 species